rnacentral:RNase_P_RNA from 1 species
AUGUUCGGGCAAUCGCUGCAUCACUUUGUGAUGUUGAGGAAAGUCCAUGCUCGCACGAUCUGUAAUGAUCGUAGUGUUCGUGCCUAGCCAAUAAAUAAGCUAGGGUAGUUCGGUUUCAACUGGACUAACGGCAAGGGAACUUCCUAAGUCUUCGGAUAUGGUUUAGUACCUUUGAAAGUGCCACAGUGACGAAGUCCUAUUGGAAACGGUAGGAGUGGAACGAGGUAAACCCCACGAGCGAGAAACCCAAACGAUGGUAGGGGCAUCUACUCAAAGGAAUAAAACGGAGAGUAGGCAAGUAAGAUUUCUUACUUGAGAUAGAUGGUUGCCACCUGAGUACGAGGCGCAAGCCGCUUGCAGUACGACGGAACAAAACAUGGCUUACAGAA